rnacentral:rRNA from 1 species
CAGCAGCCGCGGGAAUACGAAGGGGGCUAGCGUUGCUCGGAAUGACUGGGCGUAAAGGGCGCGUAGGCGGCGGCCAAAGUCAGGCGUGAAAUUCCCGGGCUCAACCUGGGGGCUGCGUUUGAUACUUGGUUGCUUGAGUGGGGAAGAGGGUCGUGGAAUUCCCAGUGUAGAGGUGAAAUUCGUAGAUAUUGGGAAGAACACCGGUGGCGAAGGCGGCGACCUGGUCCUUUACUGACGCUGAGGCGCGAAAGCGUGGGGAGCAAACAGGAUUAGAUACCCGAGUAGUCCCUGUCUCUUAUAC